CUGCUAUUGGUAAAGAUUUGCCCCCGGUGGGUGGUCUGGGAGAUUUAACCAUGCCCCGACUGGGCGGGCUCCACAGCCUGUGGUGUCUUCUAACUUCCAAAUGUGGCUCAGUGUUUGACUGUUAGAUCCAUCCUCCAAAGUUGAAUCAGAGGGGUCAGGGAAGUCAUUUGGAAUGUUUUGUUCCAAAUCCCUGCUGUUGUUACUAAGCAUAGAUGCAAACGCAGUGAGUUGGCCUCAAUGCUUACACCAUGGUGAAUGGGGUAAGUGGGAUAAUGCCAAGGAUGGUUACCCACUGAUCACUUUCCUGGAGACUUGAAAUUAGCUUCAUGCUCCCCCAUGUUCCACCUCACCUUCCCUUGGGGAUGCCCUGGACCCAGUGUCAUCUGAGCCCAGAGAGAGUAUGUCCACAUCUUUAGGAACCUAUCCUUUUUGUAUGUAUUUAUGUGGGCCACCGUCUGUGCCCUUGCAUCAUUAGCUAAUACUCCUGAGAUAAAAAUAUCUCAGAAAUCAAAUCACUGUUCUUCAGCUGCACAAAUAACUUGGUGGAGAUAACCCUGGAAAAAAUGACCAUUUUUUUUAAAGGAAGAAAAACAGCAUGUUAAGAACUAAUAGAACAAAUGUUUGGAGAUGUUUUGUCUUGUAAUAUGUGUGCAUCACACAAGGUGGCAGAAUAAGCAUAAGGUGAUCCUCCAGCAUGAGGCUGGACCCUGCAUUGUUUUCAAGGCAGGGACGAGAUUGCUAACCCCUACCUUUGCAGCCUCAGCCACAGCUGCUAGCUGGUCCUUUCUGUGUGUGCUCACACAUUUGCGUUUAAGUAGAGUGUGGCACAUAGUUUAGUAAUCUGCCAGCACUCAAAUCUUUGCUUUCAAUGAGAAACUGUGUUAAAUGAUUAGACUUCAUUGGUUUCUUGAAAAUAUGCACUGACUCCUGGCUCCGAUUUAUAUGCCUUCUUUUGAUUGAAAACACAAGCUUCUCUCCAUCAGCCUUCUAGUUCAACUCAAGGGUAUUGUAAAAGCUGAGCCACAAGACAGUUUUAUAACCUAUGAUAUCAAAUUUUACUUUUUUCUUCUCCAUAUAGGAUGUGAAUGUGAAGUUAAAUAUUUAUUAAAUAUUUGUCAAGCUUAUUAACUCUGUUUGUUUUUCUCAAUAAGGAGAAUUAAAAGUCCCUGGAUUUAUUUUUAAAUUUAAUUGAAUGGUUAAUACUUAAUUUUAAUCAUUAUUAAUUCAAUUUUUAAUGUAGUCAUUUUUAUGGCUGAAUUAAAUAUUUUACUUGGGCUUGUGAACAAGACCAUUAGCAAUGGACUACAUAGGAUUGUCACACCACACAUCAGAAAUACUAUAGAACAAAUUUAUUUGUACUAUUAACCUAUUCAGUACAAAGAAAUGGGUCAUCUCUCAAAGUUACGGUGAAAACAUUUGAUCUCCAGAAUAAAAAAAUGAAGCUAUGCAUAUGCCUCAUUUCUCAUAUAAAAUUCACAUGUCUUAGCCUCAGAUGUUUUGACUGGUACAAUUUAUUUUCCCAAGUUCUUUACAGAAAAUAUUAGGAUGGACUAUGAGAGGGUAAAAUGCUCAUCCUUAAUAAAAUGGGUCAUGUAAUUUACCAAGCUAGACCACCAGCUAUGCAGAUGACCAUGGCUGGCCAUUCUUGGUCACCUCUUCUCCUCUCCUAUGAUCACUUUUCCAAAGACUUUCAAUACUUCUGGAAACCCUGUUGUUUCCUGCAUCUGUGUCUCUCCUUUCCUCUAGCUUAAAUUAUAAUUCUUAUUUCUAGGCCUCUUGCAUUUGGCUGCCUCUUGUCAUUUCCUCUUCUACCUAACACCCACCAGCAAGUGCUAGAGCUAGGUCAUACUGUCUUGGGAGAGUUGAUUUUGCACAUCUUUUCUCAAUUCCGAGGUUAGCGACAUCAGGUUGACAGCUUGAAAUUGGCCCUCGUGGGAGAGUUUACACCACAGAAAUAAGCAAACACUACAAAAAAUCAGGGCUCUUAUUCCUCUCCUCCUAAGCCAGUUUAUCUGCACACCACAGAGUAAUACCAUGGAUUCAAAUGAAUAACCUCAGCUCCACGUUGAUUCUGUCAUUUCCCCCCAUUGUCCAAAAUUUGUAGCUAAUGGCUCAUUAUAUGAAGUUACUCUUCUGUGUGUUAACUUCCAUAACUGGGAAAUAAAUCUUCAGUGUGCUAAUUUCCAUAACUGGGAAAUAAAUACAUUUAUUCACAGGACUGAUAGUAUUCUUAUCCAUGUUUAGGAAUGACAGAUGACUGUUUCACAGCUGGUGUGUCAUUUGAACCAUUGUGCAUGCAGCAGCUGGGCAGAGAUUUAAAUGGAGAGUGUCUCCACCUAAAGACCAUGCCAAAAAUGAACUCCAAAUUGUCUAAAUACCACACUGAGUUUAGUGAAAUGUCUAGCACUUCUUCAAUUUGCUGGCUACUCCUGGAGAGCUUGGUACAGUAGACCAGUACAGAGUAUUAUAAAGUCACAAAUUUGAUUUUUGAGAGAUCCUACAAGCUACCUUAUUUUGAGGUCUUUUGUCACCCUAGAAAAGAAAUGCUCUGACUUCCUACACUAAAUUUGAAUACUGUCACCUGGAAGUCAAACAAUCUGGCAGAGUAUUCAGGUAUUCAAGUGUUUAAGAGUAUUCGAGUAUUCAAAGUGUUUAAAAAUCCACAAAAAUUCAGAACAUUCUUCAGUCUGAACUUAAAGCCCUCAACAAUAUUUUCCCAACCAACUACCCAAUUUGUUGUUUUCUGUGAUUUCCAGUCGUCCUAUCUUUGUCCAUUCUGUAUCUUCUGCCUGAAGUUUCCUUUAUCCUCUCUUAUUAUAAACUUUAUCCUGCUUCAAGAUUGAUGUGGAAUUCCAGCCUUUCCCUAAAGCUUAUCCUAGUCUCCCCACUUGGAAAUAAGUACAUUCUCUAUAGAAUACUUACCCCAUUUUCUAUACAAAUGUUAGGUUACUUAUUAAUUUUUACUUUAUAUUUACACACGUGUUUUAUCUUUUCUAUUAGAUUUGACACCAGGGGUCAUGUGUGCCUGUUAUUAAGCUAUUGAAGCUUAGCUCCAAAUUCAUCCUUCUUCCUCUGCUCUGUGAUGCUGGGGCCGAUGCUCUGCAAACCAUACAUCUCUCUAUCAGCCCUUUCCUGUUGGGUUCCUCAUUAGUGGCGGAGAGGAGAGACUGGAAGGCAGUGACUGAGAACGGCCAUGCUCCUUCCUAUUUGCUUGAAGUUUCUGACAGUAACGUCCUAGGGCAGGCACUUGCUUCCAGCCCCCAGCUUCUUUGCAAAUUCCACAACCCACCUCACGCUGUCCCUCAGAGGCAGCAGCAACAUCUGCCCCCAGCCUUCUUCUCAGGCGCCUCAACUCUGGCCCCGUGAGGCUCCACCUCCAGUUUCCUGAGCAGCCAUUGAGUGGUGUCCCCUACUCAGACGUUGGAGUCCGAUCCAUGGAGGGCCUCCUCUAGUUUCUAGGUUUUCCCCUGUGUUUCUCCAGCUCAAGGGUGCACUGCUUCCUACGAUUAUGAACUCUAUGCCACCUCAGUCUUCCCUCUAAAAGGCUUAUUGAGUCCUCCAACAACUGUGUCACGGAUCCCCUAUAAGAAAUACCCUGUUGAAAUACCCAGUGUGGUUGCUGUGCUCCUGGCUGGACCAUGAUUACUUCACAAUGACUGAUCCAUCUGUGUUUCCUCCUUUGCCCAGUGGCCCAACUCAAUUCUUAACAAGACGGUGUGGUGUGAGCACAGUAAUUACUUAGUAUUUAAAUAUUAGUUGAAUGAAUGAAUAUUUAUUAAGAUAAAAGAUCCUGCUAUAUUUCAUUAUUUUGUCUUUUCUCUUCCAUUUUCAUGAUUACUAUGCUCAAAUAGGGGCUUUAGUUAACAUUCAUGGCCAUUAUUUGGUUGGAUCAGGAAACAUUUCCUUGGAGUUUAUGGAAUGGCUUAAAAUGCAUGACUUGUCACUAUGCUUUACAAGCAGUAGAAAACACCAUCUGCAUUACACAGUGCCCCUCUGUGUUGGCCACUCUUCUACUACAGACUCUGGGGAAGUUUUCCGUACUGAGAAAGGUACAACUUCCCUCAUGUGUAUUGGUAACCAAAACAGACAUGAUUUAUGAUGUGUGCAUCGAGAAGGAGAAGCGACUAGCCACACUUUUGCUCUCUCCUAAAAAUUGGUAAGGAUAGUUUUGAGGAUAUGAUUUAAGGGCAGAUUGUGGAGAAAACAGCUGCUCUACAGGCAUAUGAAUAAUUGUGAUUUUAACCAGAGUAAACUUUGCAGGAGGCUGAGGCAUUAUCCAUUACAGUAGAAGAUAAAAAGAGUGCUGGGGGGAAUGUAGAACUUGACCAACUGGGUAAUCGGCAAGGAUGUGAUUUCUAGACUGGAUUAUGACAAAUGCUCAAGUCUGGAUAUGUGGUGCACCCACAGGAAUCUAGUAAAGCAGGGGCACACCUAUAGAUCUCUUCCUCACCGCUUUUUAGUGCUUACUGUCAACUUAAGCAGCUGAUCUCAUUAGAGUGUCUUUGAGAAAACUCCUUGAAUACAGGUGCGAAAUUGGUAGUUACUGCAAUGGUAGUAGAGUGAAUGUUUUUUUCUCUGAGUGUUUUACGGAUUUUGAUCAUUGUUAGCAUACAAAGCCAGUACUCUAGUGAAUAAACCGCAAGCGUCAUUAACCAGGCAAAGGAGGCGAGCCACACCCUAAUGUCCUUUGUCCCCCCCUAGGCUGUGUCAUUUGGGAAUCAUCUGAAAAUAAUUCCUCACCAAAAAUGUGAGUUUGCUUAAUAUACGCUUUGCUAAAUAUAAAUAGCUUAAAGGUAAGUAAGUUGCAGUUCAGCAGCACUGAGGACCUUUUCCUAAAACUGCAAUCUAAUCUUGAACACCUAUAUCACAGACUUUGGAUUUGGAUCAUUUUUAUAACCAACCCAGAAUACCAGGAAACUUCAAAAAUAUAUACCCUUGCCCUCUAAAAAGGAUAAAGAAAAUGUAUUCUGAAUUGGAACAAUCAAGUGGUUUAGGGUAUGGAUAGGAGACAGAUUACGCUGUACGUUGGGGUAGCAUGGUAUAGCAUAACAACCAUGGGCUUUGAACCAGUAGAACUGUUUCAGCCUUAUCUCUUCUGCGAGAGAACCUCAGUUUUUGCUAUGAAAUAGGGAUGACAAUAUCUCCCUCACAGGUUACAGUGAGGAUCAAAUACUGUUACCUUCCUGAAAGUUCUUUUGACAGUGAUGGCUUAUAGUAGAUUCCCAGUCUCUGCUGACUGAGUUGGAAAGGACAGGUGGAGAACUGGAUGCAGGAAGUCAUAGCGGGCUGUGAAGUGUUCAGCACUGGUACGCAGAUCCCCGACUGGCCUAAAGGGAUAUGUGACACACUGUGUUCACCACAAGGAGUGGGGGGAGGAAUUUAACAUUUUCCCUCUAACCCAUAGAGUUUAAGGUCAGGUGUGAAAAAUUAGUGGGCCCGGAAGGCAAAGCAGGGAAGGUGGAUGUAGGUACAUGGCCUCAGAGCAAAUAAGACAUGCGGAGCUUGUGAGUCACUGAAUCUCCCAGCCAUCGAAGUCCCUCAAGUAAAAUCUCAGACCUGCUGCUAUUGUCCCACUACAACAGCAUCCUGGUAUCUUUCUUCUAUUUCUCUUAGGUCCAUGUUGCCAGAACAUCAUACCUCAUGUCUGAGCCAUGCUUUGCUGUCACAGAGCUGUCUGUAUCUGUAAACUCUACACUUCAGUGCAGUUGGAAUUCUAACUUUUACAGUUGGUUUUUCCCUUCUGGACUGUGUACUAUUUCUUUUCACUACUGUGAAUUUUCUGAAGUCGUCUAUGCCUCAAGCAGUCUAUGCCCAUCUUCAAAUUUGCUAUUUCUAAUUAACUAGCAAUCUGAAUAACAGCAAUCUGAUUUCUACCCUUCAGAAUCACAUGGAAAAUAAGCAUAAGUGGGUGAUGAUAAAAUCCCCGGUGAGCCAAGGCUCUUAUGAGCCAAGUGCCUCAGCUUUUGUGCCUGGACAUUGUAGCGUAUUUUGGCCGCUCAGAGAUCUCUUAAUGUUCUUCUUGCUUUGUGGCUGUUUUCUGGAAAGGUGACAUUGCUUAUUGUAGAGUUCUAGACAAAAUAUUAUUGAAUUGUUCUUAAUCCUCUUGUGAGAAUACAGGGAUGAUAUUACUGAUUCACUGGGCACCUGCCAUUAAGUGGAGAGAGGCAGCAUUCUGUGCUGCCUCAUUUUUCAGGACUCCCGGUGUUGAUAAGAGGCAUUCAGAAGAGCUUGAUACAGACACUAACUUAUCUAGUCUCCUUGGCAAUUGCUUGUGGAUGAAUAGGCAAGUCAAGUCCUCAUAAAGAAAGGUCAGGAUGAAGGUUAACAAAUAUAUUUUUGAGGCUGGAGACAUGAAUAAGCAGAAACUGUCAGAGGUUGAAAGGAAAAAGAAAGGGGGAAAAGGGAAUUCGGGACCAUUUUCAGACAAGAGAGGAGAAAGAGAGCAGACAAAGGAACAUAUGGGGGAGGAAGUAGAGAAAGAAUUAAUGAAUGCUGGCAUACUGACCCUCAACUGCAGCGGGAGCAGCAGGUCUAGGAAAGCGUCCCCUGACUAAGACUGAUCGCUGCACACAGACACAGCAUAUAAGGUCCAGCUCCAGGAAAGUCCUUGGAGAGAAGCACAGUGUGAUUAAGAUGCAGUUCCUGCUUAACCCAGACCUGGGAAAGUGAAGAGAAAGCAAAAGGUGAGUCAACAGGAAACUGUGAGCAAUACUGUGGCAAAGAAAGAAAGUUAAGGAGUCAGAAGGUGGAAGAGUAGUCUGAAAUAAACCGUGCAGCUUAGCAGGCUGGGGCAGAGGUAAGCAGUGGCAAAGGGAUGGAAAAUAAGGACCUCUGGUGUCGUCUGGUGAGUGUAGAAAGCCAGGCACUUGGGGGCUUGGAAUGAAGGACUCCAGAUAUUACGUUUACACAGAAGAGGCACAAAAGAGAGCUACAUUUGGGCUGGAAGGGUCUCUAGGGGAGGAAUACUGGUGAUAGGUACGGUAAGUCUUACAUGCUAAUAUUCCCCAGUGGCAUUGCAGAUUGAUUUUGCCCUUUUGCCAGGUACAGUUCUAAGACUAGGGGUCACUACCACCUCAGAUCUGAGCCACCAUCAUCCCUUGCCUGGAUUAUUUAAUAGUUUCUUAAUUGGACUCCCUGCUUCUCUUCUUAUCCUCUAAAGCCUAUUUCCAAUAGAGCAAACCAGAAUGAUCUGUUUUAAACUAUGAAACAGAUCUCUUUUGCAUAAAACCCCAUGAUGACUCCCCAUUUAACCCAGAAUAACAGCCCAAGUUCCCACAAGGAUUUGCAAGGCUUUUUGUGAUCUGCCCUCUCUGCAGCCCUAUUCCUUCUGUGAUUCCACUUCCUACAAUUCUUUCUUUUACUCACUUGGCUCCAGUUAAAUACCCCGCCCCCCUGGCUAUUCCUCAAUCCUGCCAGGUGUGCUACCCGCUGAGGGCUUUUUCUCUGGCUACUUCCUCUGCCUGGGAUGUUCUUUCCCCUAGAGAUUCACAAGGAUAACUCUGUUGCCUUUCUGGAAUCCUUGAUCAAAUAUCGUCUUCUUGGUAAUGGUAGGGAAAAAAAUCCGUUAUAAAGUGGCUGACAGGACUGAUAGGGGAAUUCCAGUCCCUGCCUGAAGACUCCCCUUCCGGGUUCUUCUUCCCACCCUGCUUGCCGUGUGUGCCAAAUUACUACUAAUGAGGAAUGCGGAGGUAACAGACUAUAAGUUGUCCCCUCCGCUAAUGUUCCUGGCCCAGACCUCUGGAGAAUGAUAUCCUUUGAGUCCACCAGUGUAAAAUAAACCUCCUGUCUUCCAGGAUCUCCGAGUGCCACUUGGUUCUUCUGCCAGGUGAUCCAGACCAGGUUCCGUAACAUUUUCAAGUCGACAAUUUGGUUGCUAAGGAGAGAAGCUUCUGUACGACUUGGAUGCCACACUGACAUUCAAGUUAACAACUUGUAGGGUGGACCAGGUCCAAUGACAUGACUUGAUUCUGGAGUGAAAAACAGUCAUCGUUGCAAUAUUAUAUAGACUGCUAGGUACAACUUCUGGAAUUCAUCAAGCAACUUCAGCCUCUGACAGAAACAUGGGAACUAAGGUGCCUAGAGGCCACCAGAAUGAACAUUUUCCUGUCAUCUGAAAGAAUGAUGCCUUACUAAUGGUGCUGCAAGUCCAUGUGGCCAUGUUGAGAGGAAAUUCAGGAAUCGAAUUAAAAAUUUUGCCUCAUUUUAAGAGAAUAUUGUUUGCCCUUAAUGCCCAUAACAUGAUUUAUUUCAGAAUUUUUUCCUUUAAACUAUGGAUGCCUGCCCAUUAUCAGCUUUAGAGAAAUGUGUUAGGCACAAUCUCCCUGGAAAUACUGAGAACAUAUGUGAUCCAAGUCUAUAGUAGUUUGGGGGAUUUAAGUUCUGCUCAGAUUUCUUGGAUGAUGGUUCUUUUCUUUAUUCUUACAAUUUCUGUUGACAUUGGCCUUUUUGUGUAAUAGGAAAAUUAAACUGGAUCUGGAAAAGAUAA